UACGGAGGGGGCUAGCGUUGUUCGGAAUUACUGGGCGUAAAGCGCACGUAGGCGGAUUGGAAAGUUGGGGGUGAAAUCCCAGGGCUCAACCCUGGAACUGCCUUCAAAACUCCCAGUCUUGAGGUCGAGAGAGGUGAGUGGAAUUCCGAGUGUAGAGGUGAAAUUCGUAGAUAUUCGGAGGAACACCAGUGGCGAAGGCGGCUCACUGGCUCGAUACUGACGCUGAGGUGCGAAAGCGUGGGGAGCAAAC
rnacentral:rRNA from 1 species